CCAGCAUGUUCUUUGGAGCUCAGGUACAGCUCCUCUGGAGCCUUGCUUUCUGGAAGGCAGUAAAUGGAGACAUCAUCCUCACCCAGACGCCAGCAUCCCUGUCUGCACCUCAGGGAGAGACCGUCUCCAUCUCCUGCCAAGCCAGUGAAGACGUACAUGGUGAAAUAUCUUGGAUUCGAAUAAAACUUGGACAAAGAUUUGAGCCCCUUAUAUCUCAUGUCACUACCUUGGCCCCAGGUGUCCCAGCUCGAUACAGUGGCAGGGGAAGUGGAACCAGCUAUGUCUUCAGCAUCAGUGCUCUGCAGCCGGGGGACUCUGGGGAGUAUUACUGUAUGCAUGACUACGGGUGGCCAACCCACAGUGGUGCACCCUGUGCACAAAACUCCUGCUGCCUGUCAUAG